rnacentral:ncRNA from 2 species
AACUUAUUAAGAGAAAGUGGAGGGAAUUGGCCCGAUGAUGCUUCAGCAACCGACCUUAAGGGAACGGUGCUAAAUCCAACAAGUGUAAACUUGAAAAAUAAGUA